UGGGAUCUCCAUAUGCUGGUUCUUCAAUGGCCAGAGUCUACUGCUCACAGAGAGAAUGACGCUGUCCCCAGACAACAGCACCCUCACCAUCAACCCCGUCAGGAGGGAGGAUGCUGGGGAUUAUCAGUGUGAGGUCUCCAACCUGGGCAGUUCCAGCAGAAGUGACCCCCUCAGGCUGGGUGUGAAAUAUGAUUCAACACAAGGAAGUUCUUCUGGCCUCUCAGGUGGCGCUAUUGCCGGCAUCGUGAUUGCAGUCCUGGCUGGGGUAGCUCUGACAGCACCCCCGGUGUAUUUCCUGUAUAUGAGAUAAACUGAAGGAUCGACGAAAGUGCAUAUUCUGCCCUGAACUUCAAUGCCCAGGAAUCAAAGAAACCAACUUCAGCCUCCCAUCCCC